rnacentral:rRNA from 1 species
AACGAACGCUGGCGGCAGGCCUAACACAUGCAAGUCGAGCGCGCCUUCGGGUGCGCGGCGGACGGGUGAGUAACGCGUGGGAAUAUGCCCUUCUCUACGGACUAGUCCUGGGAAACUGGGGGUAAUACCGUAUACGCCCUUUGGGGGAAAGAUUUAUCGGGGAAGGAUUAGCCCGCGUUGGAUUAGGUAGUUGGUGGGGUAAUGGCCUACCAAGCCGACGAUCCAUAGCUGGUUUGAGAGGAUGAUCAGCCACACUGGGACUGAGACACGGCCCAGACUCCUACGGGAGGCAGCAGUGGGGAAUCUUAGACAAUGGGGGCAACCCUGAUCUAGCCAUGCCGCGUGAGUGAUGAAGGCCUUAGGGUUGUAAAGCUCUUUCAGCUGGGAAGAUAAUGACGGUACCAGCAGAAGAAGCCCCGGCUAACUCCGUG